rnacentral:lncRNA from 1 species
UCUGUGUAGCCCUGGCUGUCCUGGAAAUCACUCUGUAGACCAGGCUGGCCUUGAACUCAGAAAUCCACCUGCCUCUGCCUCCCAAGUGCUGGGAUUAAAGGUGUGCACCACCAUGCCCAGCUCUCCUCUCAUUUUCUAUGGUACCUUCACACUUUUCUUUAUCCCUUUCCCUUUUCUGUGUACCUUAUAUAUACUCUAAUUUCUCCAUCUCUCCUCCUCCUCUCCCUCCUCUUCCUUCAGAUUCUUUAAGAGAGGGCUUCUCUGUGUAGCCCUGGCUAUCCUCAAACUUACUCUGUAAAUGAAGUUGGUCCGGAACUGAGUCCAGCCUGCCUCUGCCUCCUGAGUGCUAGGAUUAAAGGCAGAUGCCAUGUAUGCUGCUCAUUCUCCAUCAUAACUGAUAUUCCUGUUUCCUGGUCCCAUCUGCCCUGUCCUGCCCCCUACCUUUCCUCCUCACCCAUUUUCAGUCUUUCCCCCUCUCUCUGGACUCUUCUCCCUCGCCUGCUAGCCCAGUCCUAGUCUCAGAGGAUAUGGGGCAGGAUACCCAGGGCUUGAUGUCCUCCUGGAUCCCUCCCCACAACCAGACCUCUGUCUGUCUCUGGGUCCUAGCCUGGGGACAUAAGGAAUGUGAUCAAGAGUGCUCAGUCCACUUUGCUCCUCUACCUGCCCAGUCUCCUCCUCUACCUGCCCUGUCUCCUUGCUCGUUUCUCUAUCCCCACCUCCUUCUCCCUAGGCUGCCUAGCCCCCCUUUCUGGGCUCUCUGUCCUGUUCUUUUCUGUGCUUGCCCUCAUGGCCUCACUGUUCUUUCUGGAAUCUUCUUUUGUUCUGUUCUCCAUCACUAUUCCCUUUCUUCCUCCAUUUUCUUUACAACCCAGGCUCUCCCACCAGUGCUGUAACACCACCUCCUCCCCUUUCCUCACUGAAACUUAGAAGCUGUCUCCACCUCCCUUAGCAUCUCUGCUGUUUAUCUCCCUUGACCAUUCAGGCCUUUCUUGUCUCCGAUAUCCAGUCUCUCCUCCCCUCUUAUCUAUUCUGACCCAAGGUGCUGAUCUCUCUCUCUCUCUCUCUCACACACACACACACACACACACACACACACACACACCCAACUUCUGACUAAUUCCCUUUCUGGUUGUCCCUCACUCUGCUCUCUCUGUCCCUCACACUCCUGUGGAACUCCUUCUGGUCUUCCUGUCUCUUUCUUGCACUGACUCCCUAUCCUCUCCUGGUGUGUGUGUGUGUGUGUAUGUGCAUAUGUGCACACACAGUAUAGGACAGAGGUCAACCUUAGGUGUUACUCAUGCUUAUUUUGUAUGUUCAUGUAUGCAUAUGGUGUGCUCACCUGUAAAACAUGUGUGAAGGUAGGACAUCAACAUCUCGUGUCCUCUCUAUUGUUUUGCGCCUUAGUUUUUGAACUUGACACCUUCCGAUUUGGUGAGUCUGGCCAGCCAGGAAGCCUGGGAAUCCCCAGCACCAGGAUCACUUACAGGCACUGUCACUGUGGGGGCUGUAGUGUGGGUACAGGCACUGUCACUGUGGGGGCUGUAAUGUGGGUACAGGCAGUGUCACUGUGAGGGCUGUAGUGUGGGUACAGGCACUGCCACUGUGCAGGCUGUAGUGUGGGUACAGGCACUGCCACUGUGCAGGCUGUAGUGUGGGUACAGGCACUGUCACUGUGCAGGCUGUAGUGUGGGUACAGGCACCUGCCACUGUGUGGGCUGUAGUGUGGGUACAGGCACUGUCACUGUGCAGGCUGUAGUGUGGGUACAGGCACUGUCACUGUGCAGGCUGUAGUGUGGGUACAGGCACUGUCACUGUGCAGGCUGUAGUGUGGGUACAGGCACCUGCCACUGUGUGGGCUGUAGUGUGGGUACAGGCAGUGUCACUGUGUGGGCUGCAGUGUGGGUACAGGCACCUGCUACUGUGUGGGCUGUAGUGUGGGUACAGGCACUGUCACUGUGCAGGCUGUAGUGUGGGUACAGGCACUGUCACUGUGCGGGCUGUAGUGUGGGUACAGGCACCUGCCACUGUGUGGGCUGUAGUGUGGGUACAGGCACCUGCCAGUGUGUGGGCUGUAGUGUGGGUACAGGCACCUGCCACUGUGUGGGCUGUAAUGUGGGUACAGGCACCUGCCACUGUGUGAGCUGUAGUGUGGGUAGAGGCACUGUCACUGUGAGGGCUGUAGUGUGGGUACAGACAGUGUCACUGUGUGGGCUGUAGUGUAGGUACAGGUACCUGCCACUGUGAGGGCUGUAGUGUGGGUACAGGCAGUGUCACUGUGUGGGCUGUAGUGUGGGUACAGGCACCUGCCACUGUGCAGGCUGUAGUGUGGGUACUGGGACUCAAACUCGGAUCUUGCUGCUUACAUAACAAAUACUUCAUCAACAAACCUGUCUCCCAUUUAUUUCUCUUCCUGUCUUUCUUCCAUCCUCUGGCCUUUGACCUCUCUCCUUCUUCUUCUCAACUUCUUUGCCUUUCUCCUCCGCACCCUCCUUCCCUCCCCUCCCUCCCCAGUUCUCAAUGCUGAGAGCCUCUAAAUGGGUUCCUCUCCUGCUCUCCCCAGCCCCCUGCCUUGGUGCUGUGAGGUCCUCAGGCCCUGAGAGGGAGGUGGGUCACCA